GACGGGGGCGGGGCCGACGUGGAGGAAGCUGGAGGGCAGUGGAAUGGGUCGAGUGUCGCAUCAUCCACCGGGUCGCGGCCGUGGGUUGGCCCCGCCGAGGAAAACGCGGGAUUCCCCGGACCCGCAGCGCUGACGCAGCUCAGCGGCCUAGCCCCCCGGGCCGCGGUCUUCCGAGCCGCAACCAUCGCUGGUCGGACGGGCUGUGCCCGAAGUAGCAGCUGCGGAGACUGCUGGAGAGGCGUUUCCAGCCUGUCGCUGACGACCCUUCAGUAGUUGGUGUAACCAAUUUGCCAGGGUUCUGCCUGGAAGAGGUAUAGGUGCGUGGAAUUGUUUUCUGUGAAGGAAACUUCUGGAACGUCUCGUAAUGAACGGAGCGCGGCUUCGUGAGGUGUUUUCAGUCACGUGCGCUUGUCCCUGGGGGCCAGGGGACACCUUGAAAGCCAAAGUCGCUGCUUACAAAGUUGCUCUUGGGUCGUUUCUGGGUGUUUGUUAAGCAUCCACAAGCCUAGAUGGUAAGACUGACGGUGCUGGGGAAGUUCAGGCCUCCUGCACGGGAGAGAGCCGUCAUCCGCAAAGCAGCGAGCCCGAGGAGCGGUGAACGCCUCCUAGAAUUGACCCGACGAUGAACAGAAGCGUGCAGAACUUCAUGCCCAGUAUCAAAACCGGCAUUAGCAAUAUGCUGUGCCCCGACUACCAAAAGAAGCGUUAACAAGGCGAGGGGAAAGGUCAUCGGAUCCCUGGAUUCACCUGGAAUGGAAACUUCCAGAAUGGAGCUCUCAGCCUGUGCGGCUUAACUUCAGAAAUCCUCAGCAGAGUGGAUUAAGGACUCCGAGCAGCGGUGUUGCAGAAUUAGCUUUUCAAGACAAAAUUUCCUUUUUGCGGAAAGGAAUAUUGUUCCCAUAAAUGAGAACUUCCGCGCCCUCUCCUCCCCCCAGGAGAAAAGGAAACAAAGUAAAAAUCAAGGAUAAAUCGCUUAUAGCCACCUGCAGCUCUUUCAGGUUCUCCGUCCACUGGUUCACUCCCACAAUGCCAGGCCAGGCUAAAAGGGCAGCCCCUAGGGUGCGAUCUGGGUUUCCCACGUGAGUGGCAGGAACCCAACUUGAGCCAUCACUAUUGCUUUCCAGGGUGCACAUUAGCAGGAAGCCCGUUAGAAGUGGACCUGAGACUCAAACCUAGGUACUUCCAGUUGGGAUACCAGGGUCCCAGGUGGCCCCUCUGGACUAAACGCCUACCCAGGCAGCUUCUCUAGUCUGACUAUCCUUGCCGGAUUCUGAAGGCAGACUGUGCUACGCAAUCAGUGGCUUUUGGUGAUGUGCUUAAAAUGAAACUCUGGGAGACAGUUGUGACGCACCACGUGAAGCCACAGUUUGGGAUGCCAACAUCCCAUACCAGAGUGCCAGUUUGAAUCCUGACUCCUCUGCUUCUUACCCAGCUUCCUGCCAGUACAUCCCGGGAGGCAGCAGAUGAUGGCUCAAGUGCGUGGGCUCCUACCACCCACAUGGGAGACCUGGAUGAAGUUUCUGUCUCCUGGCCUCAUCCUGCCUUAGCCCUUGCUGGUGCAGGGAUCUAGCGAGUAAACCAGUGGAUGGAAGCAUUGUAUGUCUUUCUCAGUUUUUUCUGUGUGUGUGUGUGUGUGUGUGUGUGUGUGUCACUGUGCCCUUCAAGUAGAUGAAAAUAAACAUUUUAUAAAGUCAAACACUGGCUUUUCUGCUUUCUAUCAACUUGUUACCUAAUGUUGGAUUGUUCCAUUUUAUUUCAACAUUAUCUACAAACUGAAGUAAGUCUCAUUUGACCUCUCUUGAUGGGAUCCAGGUUACACUCCUGACCCUUAAAAAUUUUAACCCAACACUGUACUCUUAUGCAUACAAUUUUUCCUUUGCCAAUUAGGUGGCACUAAUAAAGUUUUUAUAGUCCUGUAAGCCAUUAUCUUAAUAAUCCUUUGUAAUAGACGUUCCAAGUAUUUUGAUGCAAAGAAUGCAUUCAAAUUUUUCUUUUCCUAUUUGGCUAUCCAGUUAUCCCAGUAUCAAUUAUUAAGAAAUGGAGCAUCAUGUUUUUUGCAGUUUACAAAAGAGCAGUGUAGUUGGAACAUGGCAAUGAGGAAGUAAUUAGAAAUAAUGCUAGUUUAGAAAUUAGUAGUCACUACCAAAAUGUUAAUUAUAUUAAUUAAUUAAAAAAUCAAAUUGAUGCAUAUUUUCCCAAACCAUUUGUUAACUUCUAAUCUUUUCCUAUCGUUUGAGGGAUAGUCUAAUUACUUAUCCAAUGUACCUUGGAAAGCAAAUCUGGAUAAAUUUGCUAAAUUUGUAAUGAGCAGGAGACCACUAUUCCCAAGAUGUAAUCACUGUAGCUAGCUAGCAUUACUUAAAGCCGGAGAGCUGGCAUAGUAGGCAGUUACAAAUACUGAAAAUGAUGCGAAGAACAGAAGUGUGCCAUGUCCAUGGCUAUUAUUGCUGCACAAUCCAUAGACAGCUGCAAAAGAGGUUCCUAAACUUGCCAUAGGUUGUGUUGUUUGCCACAAGAAGGAGUAACUUCACGUAUUACAGAUAUCCUACAUGCAAGGCAGUUACUGUAAUUCAGACAAGGUGAAGUUGAAAAUGUAGCUUUACAUUGUUCUUGUUAGAACAAGAAAAGUCAGUGAUAUGUCACCUAAUAUUAAGCAUGUUGGGGUUUUAUUAAAUAUCCCAAAUAUAAAUUCAGCUACAUAGUCUGGUAUUUAACUCAGUAUUCCUGUUGAGGCUUGGCUACAAAAUAGCUGAUGUAUCUUGCUUCCCAUUAAGCAAAAAAUCCCCAGCUAUGGGAAUUUUGCUCAAAUAUCCCUUGAUUCACACUACCCAGUUUAAAACACUUUAGGAUCUGUCAACUGCUUAUAUUAAAAUAGCAGACAAAAUUUCUAAUGUAUAUCAUACGACUGCAUUAUCUGGUCCUACCUAUAGCUUAUGAGAGAAAGUUUCUCUGUGUAUAAGUAUUUGAGUUAAUAAAUGAAUAAGACAUCAUAAAAUUAGAUUAUCGCUAAUCUGCAAUCCCUAAUGAGUAAUCCCCACUGUAUUCAGUCAGUGGUUAUCUAGUUGCUGACAACACACAAAGAAAAAAAGACAGUCAAGCUUAUGUGUCUCCUGAUUUGAUGCAAUAGGAUAUACAUAAUACCUGCUGUGAAGUAUCUCUGACAGAAAAUUCAGCUUGAAUCUGAUCAAACCUUUAUACCUAAUUACCAGUGUUAUAGGAAAUACAGUAGACAGAAGAGCAUGUUAAAUAAUACCUUGUAAAUACAGUCAGGAAAAUCUAAAAUAAGGGCAGUUCUAUAGAACAAGUGACUGUUUAAUCAACAAAUAUAAGAAAAAUAAAGAAGUGCAGAAAUGGUUAUUUAUUCUAAGAGAAGUAAGACAGUAUUCAACUAAAUGCAACAGAUGAAUCCUGAUUGUGAUGUGGGAGAACUAGACAGGGAGUAAGGUAGAAAUAAAUAAAGCUAGAAAAUAUGUAGUCCUGUAUUGAAAUUCCACCUUGUUGUCAAUCCACCAUACCCACUUUCCCAUGGUGCACUUAUGUCUCAUCUAGAUCCAGGAAGUUUAGCUCCAAGUGAAGGUGCUAUGAAACUCUCAGAAAACCUCAGGCACACCAAACUCCACCUGGUUGUGUAUUCAUUUGGGGCACCACUUUCUAUCUCAUAAAAGCAGACUGAUGCAUGUAGAAAUGUGUUUCUUUUGCUCUUGGCUUCUGGACCAUCCAUAUGCAUCCCUUCUUCAGCUACCUCCCACUCUGUCUCCUCAUAGGCAACUCUCUGGCCCACUCAUGAUGGGUAUUUCUCUGGGGUGGCCUACACUCACACAUGAUUAUAUAUUCACACUCUCUUUAAAAAAAAAAAAGAUUAUUUAUUUAUUUACUUACUUGAAAGGCAGAGUUACAGAGAGGCAGAGGGAGAGAGAGAGAGAGAGAGAGAGAGAGAGAGGUCUUCCAUCCACUGGUUCAAUCCCCAAGUGACUGCAACGGCUGGAGCUGCACCCAUCUAAGGUCAGGAGCCAGGAGCUUCUUCCGUGUCUCCCAUAAGGUUGCGGGGGCCCAACCACUUGGACCAUCUUCCACUGUUUUCCCAGGUCAUAACAGAGAGCUGGAUCAGAAAUGGAGCAGCCGGGACUCAAACCGGUGCCCAUAUGGGAUGCCAGCGUCACAGGCAGAGGCUUAGCCCACUGCACCAUAGCACCGGCCCCUAUUCACUCUCUUUGAAUAAAUCUUUCACUCACUUGUGCAUUGUUUUUAUGCUUUGAAUUCUGUCUCUGUGGGGGCAAGAACUUAGAAUCAAAAAUUGAGAUACUUAGCCCAUAACAACAAAUUAUAAAAACAUUUCUGAGACAACUAUGGAAAUUUUAACCUUGCCUGGAUAUUUGACAUUUAUUAUCAUGUUUCUUAGGCAUAAAAACUGUAUUAUAGAUACUUUAACUGCUAAUCUAUGAGGGGGUCUUCAAAGUCUAUGGAAAAUGCAUAUUAUAUAAAAACUAUGCAUGGGUUUCAGAAAUUUUUUUGAAAAACAUUUUAUUUAUUUGAAAGCGUUACAGAGAGGGAGAGACAGAGAGACAGAGAUCUUCCAUCUGCAGGUUCAAUCUCCAGAUGGCUACAAUGACCAGGUCUGGGCCUGACAGAAGUCAAGAGCCAGGAAAUUCAUCCAGGUCUCCCACAUUGGUAGAAGUGGCUCAAGCACGUGGGCCAUCUUCCAAUGCUUUUCCCAGGCCAGUAGCAGGGAGCUGGACUGGAAAUGGAGCAAUUGGAACUCAAGCCAUCCCCGUUUAUGGGAUGCUGGCAUCGCAGCCAUGGCUUUACCUACUAUAGCACAAUGUCAGCCCCUCAAAAAUUUUUUGCACCAAAAUAAACUUACUUUUAAAUUCCAAUUCCCAUAAAUUUUAGUAAGUAAUAUUAGAGAUACAUGUAAUAAUAAAAGCUUUUUUUAAAACUUUCUUUUCUUCCUUUUUAAAAUUUAUUUCCUUCCUUCCUUCCUUCCUUCCUUCCUUCCUUCCUUCCUUCCUUUUUAAGGCAGAGUUAGAGAGAGAGAGACAGAUAGACAGAAAGGUCUUCCUUUUCCAUUGGUUCACCCCUAAAUGGCUGCUACGGCCCGUGCGCUGUGCUGAUCUGAAGCCAGGAGCCAGGUGCUUCCUCCUGGUCUCCCAUGUGGGUGCAGGGGCCCAAGCACUUGGGCCAUCCUCCACUGCCUUCCCAGGCCACAGCAGAGAGCUGGACUGGAAGAGGAGCAACCGGGACAGAACUGGUGCCCUAACUGGGACUAGAACCCAGGGUGCCGGCACCGCAGUUGGAGGAUUAAACCUAGUGAGCCGUGGCGCCGCCCCCCUCUUCUUUUCUUUAAGAGCUUAUUCACUGAGUGUCUGGAAUGCUCAUGUCCCCUUCCCUUUCUUCCCAUUUUCACCAAACUGAUUUCUACUCAUCUGUCAAAUUUCAACUCAACCUGCCCUGACUAGAUCCACUUUUGUUGUGUAAUGCUAUAAAUACCCAAAAUGAUCUCUUCUAAUACUAAAAUAAUUGUGAUUAAAUAACUAUAUAUUUGUUUGGUAUUGGUCUGCUCUAAUUUGUAUGUGUAAGCCUUCCAAAGUUAGGCACUGUCCAUUUCUGAAUGAGUAAUGAAAAGUUGUAGUGGGAAGAGAGAUGGCAAAGUGAUUAAUUUCUGCAUAAUAUUUAUUUAUUCCUUCAUUAUAGUUUUUUUUUUUGGUUUACAUACACGAGGCUGUUACACAGAGCAUAGAAAAAUAAAAUUGUGAUGUCUUACUGAUCUACUAGUAAUAUUUUUUACCAUAAAGAAUAUUUGAUUUAUAUUAAUAUAGCUAGGCCAGUUUUCUUUUGGUCAGUAUUCCUAAGGUAUGUAUUUUUUUAAAACUUUAAAAUGUUUGUUCAUUGUUGAUAAUUUUUAUUUAUUAUGUAUUAUAAGCAAUGUUGUUGAAUAAAUCACUUUGUUGAUUGAAGACAGCACUGUAAGGCAGAUGGAAAAGAAAGCAAAGAUCUCCUCUAAAUGGUAGUUCCUCUUUACUUAAUCAACUUUUGAGCCUUUCAAGUAAAUGCACCCUUUUUAAAAGAGCUUUUGAAACUUUUGACCACAGCGUUCUGCCUUCAUUCCACUUGCUGGAUGUCAGAAGGUAUUUCCUCCCCUGCUAACCACAAGGCAACUCUGGGUAGAAGAGGGGUAUCUUUGGAAUAAAAUAGAUCCUGUAAUUUUAUAGGUUAAGGGACUGGAGUAUGGUGGUAGUUUGCAGUUUGUGAACAUCUCCCCCCCACCCCCGCCACAACCGCUACUUCCUUCUUAUAACAUGGUUCUUGUCAACAAACAUAGACUAAUUUUAAAAUUAUAUUUCAGUGAUUAGAUUUUCCACAAGUCUAAGAGUCCUGAGUCAAAAAUGGGUUCUACUGUAUUUUGGAGAAAAGUAAACAAGAGCGAGAGUGUGAUAGCUAAGUACUGCUUUUGUUGUUCUUGUUGUUGUUAAGGAAUUCAGUUGACCCAUAAUUUAAUAUCAUAGUUUCCACUUCUUGGAAAAAAACUUUCCCAUUCCUUGGAGUAAAUGUGUGUUUUCUCAUUGUUUCUCUUGUUCCACUUGUUUAGAGUGCACCUUCUCUCACCACCUACUCAAAUUCUACCCAAAUCUUUCUGCUCCCUUCAACAUCCAUUACUGUUUACUGACAUUUCACACACUAAGAUGAAUGGAGAAAACGUUUACAUGUGAAAAAUAUGAGUGCAACUAUAAAUGUACAGUGAAUGUUCUCAAUACUAAAGGAGUUCAAAACAUCAUCUGGGCAUAAAUAAUGAGAGAAGCAGUUUCACAUGGAAGGUAUUGAGUUGAACAUUUUUGGAUAAGCAAUAUCUAGACAGUAGAAAUUCAUUUUCAGAAAAACCAAGGGCAAAAGUAUUAAAAAGAAAUGUUUAUGGCAUAGUCUAGAAACAAGCAGUAACUAAUUGGACUGGAGUUGGGGUUUGUGGAGAAAAGUGGUAACUUGGAAAAAAUAUAGGUCAUACCUAGAAAUAUAGUUGUCGGCCAGAAUUGGGAGAGUGGUGAUCCAGAAGAUAAGGAUAAAGAAUAAGACUAUUUUUGUGUAGGCAAAGGAAGCCACAAGAAUUUAACAGCGGAAAGAAGCACAAGUAGAGCAAUAUUUUACCACAAUGACAGUUACAGAGGGAUUCAGGAUAAACUGAACUGCUGAAGACCAAAGCCAAGAAUGAUUGCUGUACUUCAGAAGGGAGAGUUGACUCUGUCCUGGGUAUAUACUGUUCUGGGUGAAAAUCAAACAUGGUCAAGACAUGGGACAUGGUGACCAUACUAGUCCCCAGUGGUCCAAAGACUACUUCUUUCUCCUCUACUCUCUGUAAGUAAUCUAAAAAUUUUAACAGAAGCUCAGGUUAUGUGCACAGUAGCAUAUAAAGAAUUGGAGAUUAGAUAAUUUGUUCUAGUGUUUGGAAUAGGCUAUACGUCAUAGUCUGUGAAAUGGAGAUGAGAAUUGAAUGGGUUUAUUCUAAUGUCUCAUGUAAUCUAUUUUUCCUUCUUUGCUUACCUCUGCACUUAAUUUGAAAGUUAUUUUUAAUUCAGAUAUCAUUUGGAACUUUUUUGGGAAAUUUGACUUUUGUUUCUGAUCACCCUGAAAUACUCUUAGUAUGUGAAUAGUUUAUCAAAAUUGUCAAGUUUAGCAACUUUGUCUUUCUGUAUUUUGACAUGUUGUGAUUCUUCUGGAACAGAAAUUUUAAAGUGUGAGUUGUGAUUCAUUGGUGUGCUGUGAAAUCAAUGUAGCAUGUCAUCAGCAACAUUAAAAAAUCAGAAUACAUUGUAAAAAAA